rnacentral:rRNA from 1 species
UCUUCUGCGGAAUAGCCACUGGAAACGGUGAGUAAUACCGCAUACGCCCUUCGGGGGAAAGAUUUAUCGGAGGAGGAUCGGCCCGCGUUGGAUUAGGUAGUUGGUGGGGUAAUGGCCUACCAAGCCGACGAUCCAUAGCUGGUUUGAGAGGAUGAUCAGCCACACUGGGACUGAGACACGGCCCAGACUCCUACGGGAGGCAGCA